GACGUAGGGCGCGAGCGUUUGUCCGGAUUUAUUGGGCGUAAAGAGCUCGUAGGCGGCUUGUUGCGUCGACUGUGAAAACCUGCGGCUCAACCUCGGGCCUGCAGUGGGUACGGGCAGACUAGAGUGCGGUAGGGGAGAUUGGAAUUCCUGGUGUAGCGGUGGAAUGCGCAGAUAUCAGGAGGAACACCAAUGGCGAAGGCAGAUCUCUGGGCCGUAACUGACGCUGAGGAGCGAAAGCAUGGGGAGCGAACAGG
rnacentral:rRNA from 1 species